UACGGGGGGAGCAAGCGUUGUUCGGAUUUACUGGGCGUAAAGGGUGCGUAGGCGGCCACCGCAAGUCGACUGUGAAAUCUCCGGGCUUAACCCGGAAAGGUCAGCCGAUACUGCGGGGCUAGAGUGCAGAAGGGGCAACUGGAAUUCUCGGUGUAGCGGUGAAAUGCGUAGAUAUCGAGAGGAACACCUGCGGCGAAGGCGGGUUGCUGGGCUGACACUGACGCUGAGGCGCGAAAGCUAGGGGAGCGAACGGG
rnacentral:rRNA from 1 species